CCGAUUUGUUAUUAUGGCUGGGCUGUAGGUCCUCUCUUCAAUUCUCUUCGUCUCCUUCAAUUCCACCCACACAAACCGAUCAAAAGCCACUGAUGAUUGUUUCCGUCUCCCUCUUCGACGUCUUCAUCUUUUUUAUUGAAGCAAACAUUAUGUCGUUCCCUAUCCUGAUGGUUCCUUCCAUCUUCCGUGAAGCAAUAUGUCUCCACUAAAUUGGCCUUCAAGUCUUGAAAUCAAAACUCCCUUCACAUCCUCAUCCCGCUGUACUUAUAUACUGCUAUAUGACGACGACGACUUAUGUAGUCUGCUUCAAACCCGGCCUCUCCCCUCCAUAGAUCGAGAUGUGGCAGUGUCUUGAGGGAAUCGGCUGGCCGAGGCAGUUCCCUCACCUCACAUAGCGCGUGCUCUUCCUCCUUCCUCUCUUGAGACUUGCGGCGACUACACAAUAGCAGAUGGAGAGCGGCAGGACCGGAUCCAGGUGCACGAAAGUGAGGCCAUGACCAGGAGCUAGGUGGCGGUGGACUGGAGAUUUUCUCUCUGUUAAUACUGCCUCCCUCUCUCUCUCCAUAAAUAUCCAUGUCUUCUCUAUGUUCGCUUUCUCUCUGUUAAUUCUCUAGGAAGGAUCAACAGAUUAUGAAUCACAGACUCUGAAUGGUGCGACGGGUUCAGUGGGCAUGUGCGACUAUAUCCUACACCUUCGUCUAAUCUAUGUAAUUGAGCUAUUUUUGGCACUCUCAAGCGAUUGUUAUGAACUAGUUGAAUAAUAACAAACUAUGGCAAAAUAUUUCAGUACUGAAUAGCAGUAGAAAGUUUAUUAC
rnacentral:rRNA from 1 species